GACGAACGCUGGCGGCGUGCUUAACACAUGCAAGUCGAACGAUGAUGCCUGCAACUUGUUGUGGGUGGAUUAGUGGCGAACGGGUGAGUAAUACGUGAGUAACCUGCCCUCCUUUUUGGGAUAAGCCUUGGAAACGGGGUCUAAUACCGAAUAUUCUGGAUGAUUCGCAUGGAUUGUUUGGGAAAGCUUUUGUGAAGGGGGAUGGGCUCGCGGCCUAUCAGCUUGUUGGUGGGGUGAUGGCCUACCAAGGCGGUGACGGGUAGCCGGCCUGAGAGGGUGACCGGCCACAUUGGGACUGAGAUACGGCCCAGACUCCUACGGGAGGCAGCAGUGGGGGAUAUUGCACAAUGGGCGAAAGCCUGAUGCAGCGACGCCGCGUGGGGGAUGAAGGCUUUCGGGUUGUAAACCUCUUUCGCUAUCGAACAAGGCUCACUUUUUUGGUGGGUUGAGGGUAGGUGGAGAAGAAGCGCCGGCUAACUACGUGCCAGCAGCCGCGGUAAUACGUAGGGCGCGAGCGUUGUCCGGAAUUAUUGGGCGUAAAGGGCUUGUAGGCGGCUUGUUGCGCCUGCUGUGAAAACGCGGGGCUUAACUUCGCGCGUGCAGUGGGUACGGGCAGGCUUGAGUGUGGUAGGGGUGACUGGAAUUCCAGGUGUAGCGGUGGAAUGCGCAGAUAUCUGGAGGAACACCGAUGGCGAAGGCAGGUCACUGGGCCAUUACUGACGCUGAGGAGCGAAAGCAUGGGUAGCGAACAGG
rnacentral:rRNA from 1 species